CUUCCUGGGGCACUCGGUCUGGCAGGACUUCCUCUUCUGGGGAGUGACUGGGCUGCAGACCUCCUAUGCGGUGGGGAGUCACAAGGCCAGGAAGACCCCUGGGCUGCCACGCACACUGGCCGUCUGCUGACCACUGACUCUGCUGGCCUCUGCCUGCCCUGGAGUGGCUCACGCUUACAGGGGAGCUUCCUGGCAGGGCAGCCAGGAGCAAGGGAGAGAACAGCGUAGGUGCUGACUAAGGCCUGGCUUCUCAGGCAUGAAGUUCCGUACGUCAACAUGGAUGAACUUUGAAC